CAUAUGCUUGUCUCAAAGAUUAAGCCAUGCAUGUCUAAGUCCAAGCUGUGUUCACACGGCGAGACCGCGGACGGCUCAUUAAAUCAGUCGUGGUCCAAAUGGGCCAGUGCAAAUCCUACUUGGAUAACUGUGGUAAUUCCAGAGCUAAUACAUGCAACUGAUAUCCCGAAGGCGGUGUUGGGGCUUGCUUGCCUUGCGCUGCGCUGCUCUGACGGAUGCUUUUAUUAGACCAAGCCGCUGAGGACUUGAGGGUUCGCGCUCUCUUGUUUGACUCGUGUGAUGGUGACUCUGGAUAACCAAAUUCUGACAAGCGCACGUACUUCUCUUCUGAGCGAGACGGCGCUGCCACUUUCGAGUGUCUGCCUUAUCAGCUAUCAACCGUUCGUUAUGCGCGACCGAUGGCUUUGACGGGUAACGGGGAAUCAGGGUUCGAUUCCGGAGAGGCAGCCUGAGAGACGGCUACCACGUCCAAGGACGGCAGCAGGCACGCAAAUUACCCAAUCCCAGCAAAUGGGGGAGGUAGUGACGAAAUCUAACGAUGCGGGCGCCCUUUCUGGGGCCCCGCAAUCGGAAUGGGCACUUUCUAAACA
rnacentral:rRNA from 1 species